rnacentral:rRNA from 1 species
UACGUAGGCAGCAAGCGUUGUUCGGAGUUACUGGGCGUAAAGGGUGUGUAGGCGGUUCUUUAAGUUUGGUGUGAAAUCUCCCGGCUCAACUGGGAGGGUGCGCCGAAUACUGAGGGACUAGAGUACGGGAGAGGAAAGUGGAAUUCCUGGUGUAGCGGUGAAAUGCGUAGAUAUCAGGAGGAGCACCGGUGGUGUAGACGGCUUUCUGGACCGACACUGACGCUGAGACACGAAAGCGUGGGUAGCAAACAGG